GACGGAGGGUGCAAGCGUUGUUCGGAAUUACUGGGCGUAAAGCGCGGGCAGGUGGCCUUUUAAGUCCUUUGUGAAAUUCCGGAGCUCAACUCCGGAUGUGCAUAGGAUACUGGAAGGCUAGAGACUGGUAGAGGCGAGCGGAAUUCCGGGUGUAGCGGUGGAAUGCGUAGAGAUCGGGAGGAAGGCCGGUGGCGAAGGCGGCGCUCUGGAACAUUCUGACGCUGAGGCUCGAAAGCGUGGGGAGCAAACAGG
rnacentral:rRNA from 1 species